AGAAUAAAUAUAAUCGAGGUGUGAAUAAUUCAUAGAAAUAAACAAGGGAAAAACCUUGUUAAAACCCGAAAUAGGAUAGAAAGUCGGGCUAUGCCCCUUUGGAUCACAAGUUUUGUUUCAUGCUUCUGACAACUGACAUUCAUUAGCAUAAAUUUAGUAGUGAAGAGUCUAAACUCGGUCAAAUAUAUCAUUUGAAAUUUAACAUGAAGAUUUUAAGUUGGGAAAAUAAAAGACUGAUAUGAGUAAUUGCUACAGCGGAAUUCUAAAAUAGGAAUUUAACUCUAGCCUCAGCUCCGUCCCGUCAGCACCGGCCAGCCAACCUGAAAACAUUUGAAAGUAUUUUUGGGCUAAGUACUAAUGUACUUAGUGGGCAUGCAUUUUCUGAAACAUUUCAUAUUUUAAUAAAGACAGUUUAUCCAAUCAUACUUGACAUGACUUAAAAGGUUUUAAAUUGAAAGAACUUCUAAGCAUGUUAAAAUAAUUUUCUUUCAUUUGUGCGCACAUGUCACACUCCCUUUCUGUUACUCGCUGUGAUCCCGGACCUUUUAGCCACCGACGGAUCUCUGUCUCCCGCUUACUUGAACUGAGGGCGUAACCCAGACAAGUUUACUUUGACCUCGGGACGCUACCCAGGCAGGCCUGAUAUUUCUCAUGCUCCGGAACACAUCCAGCCGAGCACCCUUAUAACGCCUCUGGUUAGAGCCCGAUGGAGAUCAACCCACCGAGUCAACUAACAAGUGUACACAAUUCUCAAACAACGUAUUAGGUCAUAAGAGAACCUCAAUUGAUUAACUGCGCGAGCCUUAAACAGAGCAGAGUGCACAUAAACAUUUUAUUGGAUAAACAGUUUUCAUUACAUUAAAUAAACAAUUUGCAUUUCAUUGAAACAUUUAGAGCUUAAUAACUCAAUCAUACUUUGUACAUUUGGAAAGUAAGCCCCACCUGUAUAGGCAAAAGCCUGAAGUAUAACAUAAACCUGAAUCGGAAAAGCAGCGCUAAUCCUCCUGAUCACAAAGCCUACAAGAAAUCUAUUCUCAAUAGGUCUCCUGAAAUCUAAUCUUAAGUCAUGGUGUAGUGCUUAACAUUCUAUGAUUCACUUAGCCGGGUUUUCAAAAUUUAAUAAAUAAAUAAUUGAAAACAUUUCUCUUGAGUUAAGAACACCAACAAUAUUCUUACUCAUCUUUCUUUAAUAAUUGGAAUUAUAAAUAAAACCAAUUAAAUCAUAAAUACUUUUAUUGCAAAAUAUAAUGCAAUUUCAUGUCAUGCUUAGCAUAUAAUAAGUAAUAACUUAAAAUAUGCACAUAAUAAUAAUAUGAUAUUAUUAUGCAAAUUAAAAUAAUUAAUCAAACUUAAUAAGUACUAAUUAAUUAAAAUAGUGCAGUCCAAUUAAAUGGAGAAGCUGCACAGCCCAAUGAAUAAAUUAAUAAAGGCCCAACAGAUUUAAAAAAUUAAAAGCCCAACUGAAACAAAAAUAAAUAAAAUCUCGGCCCAUAACUCGNUAAAUAAAUAGUCCCAAACUCGUUACGCACAUAUACUAAAUCUUUCAUGAAACAUCCUUUAAAAUAAACUUUGAUACAUAGAAAAUAAUUCAACAACUUGAGCUCUUAAGGGGUUGUUUUGCAACAGACACCAAAUCUGCCUCGGAUCUCCAAAUGAGGCUCCAAAAGACAUUCUGGAAACUAGACAUUUCAAGGAUCAUUCUCCAAUUUGAAUCGAAUGAAAAAAAGUUCAAACGAGCAAGAUAUGCCCUCUCAAAGAUGGGUAUUUAACAAACAAAAAUCUGAAAAUUUCAGAUUUCCAGAUUACAACCAAGUCAGUGGGCUUUCUUUAAAAAUUCAUAUCUCCCUUUACAAAACUCCACUGGGAACCCCAAGGGUCAAUCUGGAAACUAGGGAGAGAUCAUAACACUCUCCAGUUGGAUUUACUCCAAGAAAAUUCAUGGUUUAGAAGAUAUGACUGUCUAAAGUUCAGUGCACAAAAAGAGUUCAAGUUUGGCAGAUUCAGAACAUAAAUCGGAAAAACCACUUUAGGCUUCACCAAAAAUUCUAAAACUGAACAAGUAAGUUCCCAACAUGUCAGUGAAUAUUCAGUAGAAAGAUAGGCUUGAGAAUGAAAGAUUUAAGUCGGCCUUUGAGACCUCAAAGUCGUAGGUUUGUAAAACCUACUGGAUGGUACAAGGAAUAAGAACUAGAUUUCAAGAAUUUAUACCGGUUGUUUCCCUUACUAAAAAUGGUGAGGCUGAUGCCAAAAGAAAGAUACGGGAGUAUAGAGUGACAUACUCAAGUUUCAAAGGUUUUCAACGAUUGAAACUUGACUUAUGGCCUCCCAAAGAUGGUUUACCAAAAAUGUAUUCCAGAUGGGCAGUGAUGUUUAAAAAUUCAUAAAUAAAACAUGAGAGCUCUAAAUAUUCUUAAAUUUUACCAUAGUAUAGAAAACAUAUUAAACACAAUACACAAUUAAUUUGGGAAUUUUUGGGAACCGUUUGGAUGGCUGGAAUCGCCUUGCAAUAUACUGCCGGAGCAGUGUGCUUAUGGCAGAUUCGCUGCCUUACCUCAUGCACGGUUUUUCACCCAAUAAACUCUACCAAAAUAAUCAUCCAAAAUCAUAAAACAUAUCCUCACAUAAUAUAGCACACAUAUGUGUAAAAAUCCAUGGUCUUAAAGCAUUUUAUGUUGAGAAAAACCAAAGAAAACUCACCCUCGAAGCACAAUCUUCACUCUAACUUACGCCCUAGGUUUCCCACGCUCUCCCUUACUUUGAUACUACUCUUGGAGCUUAAAGGCUUCUAUGAAUUCCAACUUUGGUUGAAUGUUGCUGUUGUUUCUUUUGUCUAAGAUUGAGCUUUUUCUUGAGAGAGAUAAUUUGGUAAACUCGGGAAUGAAUCGUGUGUGAGAUGAAGUGGAAAGCAUGAUUGAAAUUAUUAGUGAUGAAUGAGGUGUGCUUGAGGUAUAGUGCAGGGGAUUGAUGGUGAUGUUGGUGGUGGAAGUGGGUGGUGAUGUUGAUGGAGUAAGUGGGUGUAGGAGUAGGUGGGAGUAAUAAAAUAAAAAUCUUUCGGGUUGUAGUAUGAAAACGGUAAUAAUCGUUCAGUGUUUGCUUAAAUAAAUAGCUCAUGAAAAUGCUUGAAUGCUAAAUUAAAUAAAUAUGCGACGC
rnacentral:lncRNA from 1 species